GACGAACGCUGGCGGCGUGCUUAACACAUGCAAGUCGAACGGAAAGGCCCUGCUUUUGUGGGGUGCUCGAGUGGCGAACGGGUGAGUAACACGUGAGUAACCUGCCCUUGACUUUGGGAUAACUUCAGGAAACUGGGGCUAAUACCGGAUAGGAGCUCCUGCUGCAUGGUGGGGGUUGGAAAGUUUCGGCGGUUGGGGAUGGACUCGCGGCUUAUCAGCUUGUUGGUGGGGUAGUGGCUUACCAAGGCUUUGACGGGUAGCCGGCCUGAGAGGGUGACCGGCCACAUGGGGACUGAGAUACGGCCCAGACUCCUACGGGAGGCAGCAGUGGGGAAUAUUGCACAAUGGGCGGAAGCCUGAUGCAGCAACGCCGCGUGCGGGAUGACGGCCUUCGGGUUGUAAACCGCUUUCGCCUGUGACGAAGCGUGAGUGAUGGUAAUGGGUAAAGAAGCACCGGCUAACUACGUG
rnacentral:rRNA from 1 species